rnacentral:rRNA from 1 species
GAUGAACGCUGGCGGCGUGCCUAAUACAUGCAAGUCGAGCGAACGGACGAGAAGCUUGCUUCUCUGAUGUUAGCGGCGGACGGGUGAGUAACACGUGGAUAACCUACCUAUAAGACUGGGAUAACUUCGGGAAACCGGAGCUAAUACCGGAUAAUAUUUUGAACCGCAUGGUUCAAAAGUGAAAGACGGUCUUGCUGUCACUUAUAGAUGGAUCCGCGCUGCAUUAGCUAGUUGGUAAGGUAACGGCUUACCAAGGCAACGAUGCAUAGCCGACCUGAGAGGGUGAUCGGCCACACUGGAACUGAGACACGGUCCAGACUCCUACGGGAGGCAGCAGUAGGGAAUCUUCCGCAAUGGGCGAAAGCCUGACGGAGCAACGCCGCGUGAGUGAUGAAGGUCUUCGGAUCGUAAAACUCUGUUAUUAGGGAAGAACAUAUGUGUAAGUAACUGUGCACAUCUUGACGGUACCUAAUCAGAAAGCCACGGCUAACUACGUGCCAGCAGCCGCGGUAAUACGUAGGUGGCAAGCGUUAUCCGGAAUUAUUGGGCGUAAAGCGCGCGUAGGCGGUUUUUUAAGUCUGAUGUGAAAGCCCGCGGCUCAACCGUGGAGGGUCAUUGGAAACUGGAAAACUUGAGUGCAGAAGAGGAAAGUGGAAUUCCAUGUGUAGCGGUGAAAUGCGCAGAGAUAUGGAGGAACACCAGUGGCGAAGGCGACUUUCUGGUCUGUAACUGACGCUGAUGUGCGAAAGCGUGGGGAUCAAACAGGAUUAGAUACCCUGGUAGUCCACGCCGUAAACGAUGUGUGCUAAGUGUUAGGGGGUUUCCGCCCCUUAGUGCUGCAGCUAACGCAUUAAGCACUCCGCCUGGGGAGUACGACCGCAAGGUUGAAACUCAAAGGAAUUGACGGGGACCCGCACAAGCGGUGGAGCAUGUGGUUUAAUUCGAAGCAACGCGAAGAACCUUACCAAAUCUUGACAUCCUUUGACAACUCUAGAGAUAGAGCUUUCCCCUUCGGGGGACAAAGUGACAGGUGGUGCAUGGUUGUCGUCAGCUCGUGUCGUGAGAUGUUGGGUUAAGUCCCGCAACGAGCGCAACCCUUAAGCUUAGUUGCCAUCAUUAAGUUGGGCACUCUAAGUUGACUGCCGGUGACAAACCGGAGGAAGGUGGGGAUGACGUCAAAUCAUCAUGCCCCUUAUGAUUUGGGCUACACACGUGCUACAAUGGACAAUACAAAGGGCAGCGAAACCGUGAGGUCAAGCAAAUCCCAUAAAGUUGUUCUCAGUUCGGAUUGUAGUCUGCAACUCGACUACAUGAAGCUGGAAUCGCUAGUAAUCGUAGAUCAGCAUGCUACGGUGAAUACGUUCCCGGGUCU